GAUGAUAACAUUCAUUAUAAGUAUUCUUGAAUCUUGAUAAUAUACAAGCAAGAAAAUGUCUGGAUACCUCGUGGUUGUCAGGAGCAAGAAACACAAAUACAUUGAUGCUAAAAACCAAACAUCUAUGAGAUCACUCCAACUGAGCAUACCAAACACCCUGGAUUUUCACAUCCUUAGGAACCUUGGCUCCAAGAUCAGUAUCCGAAGGCUGAAUACUCUCAAACACUCCGAUCACCUCUCCAGUAUCCGGCUUGCUUGAAGUGACACUCAAAGUAAUCUUUCCCGUUGAUGCUGCAACAUUCUUUACGUUCUCUUUAGAAAGCUCCUCUUCAUCUCCCCUCCCUCCUGCCGGCAAAGCAACCGCAUUAUCAUAUCCGGUGGAACCACCUCUACCCUUUGGGUCAAGAAAUGACGAUCCUCUGUAAGAUGGCACUAGAAAUUCUCCACUAAAGCUCUCUGGUUUCCCAGAUGCUACGAGCUGUUUGAUUGUGAAUAGGAAUGGCACACGUUCACCUCCGGGAAGCUGAACAGUCACAGCAGCGUAGUCGAUUCCGUCUUUCUCCUCGAACUUAAUGGAUCCAUCAGGAGACACUUCGAGGGGACCCUCGAUCUCGUCAAGGGUGUAGGUCAAACGGGUCAUGAGUUUGGUUUUUUGGAACUCGGGUGUAGAGUUCUUGCUUACACCUUCGGCUUUGACUGUGAAUGAUGUGGGUUCAAGGCAGAAUUUCUUGGCGUUGUAUUUGCCGGACUUGAAAGCAAACCCAGUAACUCCGCCGUCGAUGGUUGGGCAUUGGUUAGCUGUUCCGGUUCCUUUUACUUCCAUGUAUGUCUUGCUUUGGAUCUCAUCGAAAGUUAACCUUUUUGGACUUCCCUCAGCACUUGCUCCCUGAUACAAUAUCAAUAUACAUGUAUACACACUUACGCAAAUAAACAAAACAGUUAUAAUAUAUACUUGGAUCAAUAUGUCACUAACAGUCAAAGAACCGGAGGAGACAUACCGAAACAACAAGGGCAGAAGUGGCAAGAGCGAAUCCGGCGAUCUUGGCAGCAUCGGUGCAUUUCUGAGCGAAGUCCUUGAGAUCAGCCUGAAGAGAGCAAGACACCCUGGCUCCGGAGGACUCGACACCGAAGGCCUUGCAGAUGCUCGGAGAAGACUUUAGCUGCAGACGGCCGGAGACACCCACCUUGGUUGGUUGCAUGAAAGUUGCCGCUGCUUGCAGUGAAGCUGCCAUUGCUG
rnacentral:lncRNA from 1 species